CAGUCUCGUCUCUCGCAUCGACCAAACUAACGAGCACCAUUUUAAACUGAUGACUGUUUGUUUAAAUUCUGUUUUACAUGACUUGGACGGCAAAGCUUUGGGACUUGCCAAAGUUGGAUUUACUUUUUGCCACUUCAGGCAGUCCCAGCGGUGGUAUUUAGACCAAUUAUGUCGUUAUUCUAAAACAAAUGAGCCGAUUAUACUUUGUCUGCAUGACUAUUUUGUCGGUUUUAUUUACAGAUCCCGUGAACGUGGAGAGUCUGUAAAUAAAAAUACCCCGCGAUGUAUCGACUUACAGAGGACCCAGUUUUGCUUCGAAGGAUAGAGGGAUACUGACCCGGAGGUCUCCAAGUUCCCGGCCUGAUUAACCCUUCCAGACCCGCGCGGGAGCAAAAGGAACUACUUCUGAAGUGCCCUUCGGCAAAGCAGCUUAAGCCCCAUCUGUCCCAGUGGAGCCGCACAGCGACCAGCAGCACAAGACUGCGGUUGUGCCGGGCACUUGUGAGAUGUGUCUCUUUGAAUGUGACCUGCCCUCCUUUUUCUUUUUAAAGAGCGAGAGUGGGCAGUCCACUCGC